rnacentral:pre_miRNA from 14 species
CCACCAUCCUGGUUUGCCUGGAACUGAGGGCGUUUCCAGGAUGUGGGAAUUUCAGAGCUAAAAAUGAGAA